UACGAAGGGUGCAAGCGUUUUUCGGACUCACUGGGCUUAAAGCGUGUGCAGGCGGCCUAUAAAGUCAGGUGUGAAAUCCCGGGGCUUAACCUGGGAAUUGCUCUUGAAACUCCUAUGCUAGAAUACGGGAGAGGUUGGGAGAAUUCCUAGUGUAGAGGUGGAAUUCGUAGAGAUUAGGAGGAAUACCAGUGGCGUAGGCGCCCAACUGGACCGUUAUUGACGCUCAGAUGCGAAAGCGUGGGUAGCAAACAGG
rnacentral:rRNA from 1 species